GAUGAACGCUGGCGGUGUGCCUAAUACAUGCAAGUCGAGCGAACAGACGAGGAGCUUACUCCUCUGACGUUAGCGGCGGACGGGUGAGUAACACGUGGAUAACCUACCUAUAAGACUGGGAUAACUUCGGGAAACCGGAGCUAAUACCGGAUAACAUGUUGAACCGCAUGGUUCAACAGUGAAAGACGGUCUUGCUAUCACUUAUAGAUGGAUCCGCGUCGCAUUAGCUAGUUGGUAAGGUAACGGCUUACCAAGGCAACGAUGCGUAGCCGACCUGAGAGGGUGAUCGGCCACACUGGAACUGAGACACGGUCCAGACUCCUACGGGAGGCAGCAGUAGGGAAUCUUCCGCAAUGGGCGAAAGCCUGACGGAGCAACGCCGCGUGAGUGAGGAAGGUCUUCGGAUCGUAAAACUCUGUUAUUAGGGAAGAACAAAUGUGUAAGUAACUAUGCACGUCUUGACGGUACCUAAUCAGAAAGCCACGGCUAACUACGUG
rnacentral:rRNA from 1 species